rnacentral:rRNA from 1 species
CACGUAUUUAGCCGUCACUUCUUCUGUUGGUACCGUCAUUUCUUUCUUCCCAACUGAAAGCACUUUACAUUCCGAAAAACUUCAUCGUGCACACAGAAUUGCUGGAUCAGACUCUCGGUCCAUUGUCCAAUAUUCCCCACUGCUGCCUCCCGUAGGAGUAAGGGCCGUGUCUCAGUCCCCUUGUGGCCGUUCACCCUCUCAGGCCGGCUACCCAUCAUCGCCUUGGUGAGCUGUUACCUCUCCAACUAGCUAAUGGGACGCAAAGCUCUCUCACAGUGCUUAUAGCUUUCAUAAUUCUAAGAUGCCUUAAAAUCAUAAUAUCAGGUAUUAGCAUUCAUUUCUAAAUGUUGUCCCUAGCUGUGAGGCAAGUUCUUUACGCGUUACUCACCCGUCCGCCACCCAAAUCUAAGUUAAAACCCAAUUCAAGUUGACUUGCAUGUGUUAAGCAUUCUGUCAGCGUUCAUCCUGAGCCAGGAUCAAACUCU